GAAAAAGAAGAGGAGGAGAAAGGAAAGCUACAGCAUCUACAUUUACAAAGUGUUGAAACAAGUGCACCCUGACACUGGUAUCUCCUCAAAGGCCAUGUCAAUCAUGAACUCUUUUGUGAAUGACAUCUUUGAGCGCAUCUCAGCCGAGGCUAGCCGUUUGGCUCACUACAACAAACGCAGCACCAUCACAUCUAGGGAGAUCCAGACUGCCGUCCGUCUCCUACUUCCUGGUGAGCUGGCCAAGCACGCUGUCAGUGAGGGUACCAAGGCAGUCACCAAGUACACCACCAGCAAAUAAAGCAGCCUCCCACGCACCCUUUUUUUUUCUCCCCACACAACGGCCCUUUUUAGGGCCUCCAAUUACUUCACAAUUAUGCUUGAGUAAUGCACAAUCCAAAUGAGACUAGUUUGUUGACUGACUCUGGGAAGAAGAGCAAAUGAAUUAUUGCAUCAAUAAAACAAGCGUGCAAAACCCGUCCUUUAUUGUAAUAAAUAGCGGGACGAAUUACUUUUGUUAGGCCUUGGGUAGUGAUAGGAAAGAAAAAUUAUACUAGAGUGAUGUACACAUACAUGACAAAGGAUAGAAGAACACAACACAUAACAUACGCCAGAUAUUCCUCUUCAAGUUUACAAAAGCGAGAGCUUGGCGGUAAUUCUUAAUCUAGUAGCAAUAGCAGACGACCGCGCCAACCUCCGAGUACGACUAGAGUU